UCUGAAUCUGCGAACGGCUCCGCAUACCAGUUGUAAACCAUAGCAAGCCAACCUUGGGAAGACCCGAUCAAAAGGGAUGACCCUUGGUUGAAUAAGGAUACCCAUGGUAAUUCUGAGGCUAAUACAAGUAUAUACCGACUUGGUCAACCGGGAAACUGGAAGGCUGGGGGUCGUGUGAAGCUUAACUGCAACACCGACCUAGGAAACGAUGCACAAUCAGACCACCACACAAACGGUCUCGUUCUGAGGCAAGUACCUUCGGGGAAAGCCAAAGGGCUUGACUGGGUGGCUCUUGCUUUGUGCUUCUGACCUAUCAACUCGAUGGCAGCGUAAGGGACAUGCUAUGGUUACAAC
rnacentral:rRNA from 1 species